rnacentral:lncRNA from 1 species
UAUAGCAUUAAAAUUUAAAGAAAUCAAUAUAACGAAAAAAUGUUGAUUGUUACAAUCUUCAUUCCAUUUAAAAACUUGAUUUUUAAAUCGUGUGUUCUUCAAGUUCUUACGACGCUAAAUCAUGAGAAUGAGUAGAACAGCAACCAUAAAUCCAAAUCUUUCUCCCUUUUGAAAGCGAGUUCUGCCGUUGUUCUGUGAUCAAAGAAAGCAAAAGGUUAGUAAAAUCAUGUAUUUUAUGUGUUUUUUUGCAUGUAAAGUGACAUUUUGAUUGUGAAACUGUUGGUUCAGUUCUGUUUGUGCAUGAAGGAAAACAAUAUAAACAUACCUGUCACAGCAGAUAGUGCAGAGGAGAAUCCAGUAAUGGAGUUCGACAUGAUUGUCAUCUUGAUCUGGUUCUAAUAUAUUUUGAUCUCUAUAAUGUAAAUGAUUAAGAUGGCUAUAGAUUAAAUAUUAAUACGUAAUAUAUUUAAUCUUACAUUCUCCCACUUAGCCGAGUAAUCAUUUACUAUGAGUAUUAGAUAAGCCUGAUCAGGAGUUAACACUCAUUUUAGCCUUAAACAAGUACUAUAGCAGAAAAAUACAGCCGUUGAAUCAUUAUGCGACUCAGGACCCCCAUUAAUCAUACUAUAGCCUUAAUUUAAAACCUAAUCAUCAUGAUCAAAAUACGCGUAAGCCCUUUGUUUGAUUUGUAACUUUUAUUUGUCUAUAUGCCAUUAUACCGGUUGAACAUAUUCUAACAGACAUACAAAAUCAAACUUGAGGAAAAUUAACUAAUACUUAGUCAUUCAUAGUACGAUAUGCGGUUGCGCAUGGCCAUUAAUUAAUACCCGUCUAUGAGCUCUCUUAGUAAGACUUAUGGGUAAUAGCCCUUCAGUUAUAGGAUCCUUAAGCAUAUCAUGAAUGUAUUCGAUACAAAACUUAGUUUCCUCAAUUCGUUCAUAAACGAAUAAUUAAUUGCGUAUCGAAACUUAAUGCAGCACCUCUUGAACUGUUACUGUUCAAGGAGUUAUGGUAGCUGACUUUAUCACACUAAUUCUUCAAAACAUUAUAUGGAGUUAAUAAACUUAUGAGUCCACUGAUUAAAUUUCCAACAACAUUUAGUGACCAUGUUAUGUCGUUAUAACUUAGGUUGUUAAUAUCAGUGCAUUAUGACUCCUCCAUGAAAUAGGUUUUGUCUGCUGACAUAAAGAUAUACCCGAAACUGCAUUUUUAUAAUCUUUGAAUAUCUCAAAGUUAGAGUAAUAAACCGGUUUUAAUUCUCACUUCUUCUUUAAAUUGUAGUCUCUCGUUUCUUUUAAAGAUAUUGUAAUACUCCAUUAGAUGCUACACAUUAAUCUAGACAUAUCUAGUGUGUUGCAAUAUGAGUAAUAUCUAAACGAGUAUAGACUUAAACUUACAUAAGGCUUCUAAUUAAUGAAGCGUAAAUAAAUAAUCUCAUUUAUCCUAUUAUCCUCUAUAGGAGAGCAAUAUUGAUUGUUACAUAUGUAAGGACCCAUUUAAUGUUAAACUUAUGGAACGAAACUAAUAUCCCAUUGGGUCUAUCUCAGUAUGUUAUGAUAUCAAUCACGUAAGAGAUAUCUCUGAGUUUUAUUAUAUCAAAGUUUGUGUUAACAAUGCUUUGACUUAUGUAACAUAUGCUUGUCAAAGAAUGUCAUCUAUAUAGACAAGUUUAUUUUAGUUGCUCCCACUCAUCUUGAGGUAGGUACAUUAAUCCACUUGAUUCUUGAUGAAAAUAAUUACGUUAGCUUUUCAUCACAUUAUGAUGUUUGCAUUAACCCAUACAUGGAUAUUAUUGGCUUACAAAUAAAGUGUUCUUUAACCUUCAGUUUGAAACUUUAGGUUGUUAUCUAAUGAACAUGUAAAUGUGUCAGCCAUUUAUUAGGGAAAAUCGUUUUAAUGUUCAUCUAAUGUAGCUUAAAACUAUUAUAAGCUACUAGAACAGUGAUGAUCCUCAAAGAAAUCUUUUGUUAGAUAUGCAAAAAAGAGUCUUUAAUAACUUAUCUCUUCCUGAGUACAACCUUUGACAAUCAAUCAUGCUUUUGAGUGUCUUAACGCUUAUAUUAGGAUUUGGUUUAGUCAUGAACACUCUUAGGUAACUUAAUCAAAUCCCAAACGUUAUAAGAACACACAAAGUCAGUUUUACUAGAAAACUGUUUUAUUCCAUUCAAAUGAUUGAUUUACACUAAUGGCUUAAUUUGAAGAGAUAGGAUCAGUAAGCAUUUCCAAAAUCCAUUUCAACUUCAAUUAGGGAGGUUAUGUAAUCAUCAAAGUUAGUAGGCUUUUAAACCUAGAUGACCUCCUGAGUUGAUUAUUGGGUUCAUUAGAAGUUUCAAUUUUAUGGAUUAGCUCUUGGUUAGGUUGCUAUCAUUUUCAUUCUAAGUUUGUAAGGGUUGGUGCAGUAUGAUAUACAAGAGGUGUAAUUGGAGUUAAAUUCGGAGUGAAAUUUAAUGACACUCUUCCCCCCGCCUCUUGUAUUCCUUGCAAAUCAUGAUAAGGACUUUGACUGCUCCCACCGAGCUUAGAAAUCUUUAGGAACUCAGCAUGCGUAGGGUCAAUAUGUAACGACCAACAAAAUCUAAUAGAGAAACAAGUUAAUGACGUUAGUCGUUGUAGUUUCUCUUGUUGAGGAUUAUGUUAGUUUAGGUAAGAAAUCUAAGUGCGCCCACAAUUAAGCAACAAUGAAACUUUUGUAAGAGUAGCAUUAGAUUUAGGGAGAUAAGGUUUGAUAGAACAGUGUCGUGAUGGAGCGAUGUCUUGUACAAGAGGUGUAAAUUUAAAAUUUUCAAUCCCCCAUCUCUUGCAACUUUUGCAAGUUAUUAUUAAGACACUUAAUGCUCCCACUGAUCUUUAAUAUCUCUAGAAUGCUACAAGAGAAGUUUCAAUGAGCUACGUGACGUGGGAACCUAUUACAUAUACGUUAGACUUUAUUAGAUUUCUUUAAUGUCCAGAUAUCAGAAGAAACUUUAAGGACAUAUUUAAUAGAAAUCUGAUUAACUACAUAUAUGAAUAGAGUUCUUCUAAGACCGUAGGCCAUAUGCGACAAAAUUUAGAUACAAGUUGAUAGUCUUUCAAAUGAUAAAUGAAUUAUGUCUGAAUAUUCCAUUUGGAAUAAGUUCCACGAAUGUCAAUGAAUGACUUAUGAUGGACCCAUACUUAUUCCUUAAGCCAAGUAAUAUUUAGGGCUGUAACGUCAUGAUUUAGAAUCACUGAAAAUGAGAUUAGAUGAAAAAAAGCAUCCUCAUUAACCAUGUUAUGAUUUCUCAUGAAUUUUGGUUCUAAUGGAUGAAAUUUAUAAGUCUCAUUUUCCUUUUGUCAAAUUCUCAUUAGCAUGAUGACAAAAGUUGUGAAAAAAAUAAGGUAUCAUCUAGUUUCAUCUUAGUAAUGUUUCUAUCCAGAUAUUUAGAACAAAUAAGAUGAGAAUUUAAGAUAAGUGUGACUUUAUGUUGACUAUGCAAACCUCACAACCUUCAUAACAUUGCUUAAUUAUGAUACUAUAUUAUGAUUAAUCAGAAUAUAUAAGGUAUCGAAAAGCGUUGUUGGAAGACUGUUCAUUAUGGUUCUUAUAGUCUUAACAUUUAAUUUUGUCACUAACUCUCAUGUUAGCUAUUUGUCGAGUUCUGGUAAGGAAACGUAUGGAACUAGAGUCAACUAAUCAUGUGUUAAUUGGAAUAUUAAAAUUAUCAGACUUA